rnacentral:rRNA from 1 species
UUAUUUGAGAGUUUGAUCCUGGCUCAGGAUGAACGCUGGCGGCGUGCCUAACACAUGCAAGUUGAGCGAUUUACUUCGGUAAAGAGCGGCGGACGGGUGAGUAACGCGUGGGUAACCUACCCUGUACACACGGAUAACAUACCGAAAGGUAUGCUAAUACGGGAUAAUAUAUUUGAGAGGCAUCUCUUAAAUAUCAAAGGUGAGCUAGUACAGGAUGGACCCGCGUCUGAUUAGCUAGUUGGUAAGGUAACGGCUUACCAAGGCGACGAUCAGUAGCCGACCUGAGAGGGUGAUCGGCCACAUUGGAACUGAGACACGGUCCAAACUCCUACGGGAGGCAGCAGUGGGGAAUAUUGCACAAUGGGCGAAAGCCUGAUGCAGCAACGCCGCGUGAGUGAUGAAGGCCUUCGGGUCGUAAAAC